UUACGGGAGGCAGCAGUGGGGAAUUUUGGACAAUGGGGGCAACCCUGAUCCAGCCAUGCCGCGUGAGUGAAGAAGGCCUUCGGGUUGUAAAGCUCUUUCGGACGGGAAGAAACGGUUACGGCUAAUACCUGUGACUAAUGACGGUACCGUAAGAAGAAGCACCGGCUAACUACGUGCCAGCAGCCGCGGUAAUACGUAGGGUGCGAGCGUUAAUCGGAAUUACUGGGCGUAAAGCGUGCGCAGGCGGCUUUGCAAGACAGGCGUGAAAUCCCCGGGCUUAACCUGGGAACUGCGCUUGUGACUACAAGGCUAGAGUGUAGCAGAGGGGGGUAGAAUUCCACGUGUAGCAGUGAAAUGCGUAGAGAUGUGGAGGAAUACCGAUGGCGAAGGCAGCCCCCUGGGCUAACACUGACGCUCAUGCACGAAAGCGUGGGGAGCAAACAGGAUUAGAUACCCUAGUAA
rnacentral:rRNA from 1 species